rnacentral:misc_RNA from 1 species
CUCGCAAACCUUACCGUCAUCGUUACCCACUCCACUCGAGACCUCAGGACGCCUAAAUACAAGCAGGAUGCCAUUGUGACUGACAAAAGGGUGAAGGUAAAAACAUGUUGGAUUCAACAAGUUUUUGUGUUUUGACAAAGUCAUUUAUACUGUUAUUUUUUAUUUGUUUCAACUUGUGAUUAAAUGAUCAUAUUUUUUAGUAAUUCCUUUUAGUUUAUAGCAAAUUUUGUCA